rnacentral:lncRNA from 1 species
GAAGAUUGGAUAAGGUUUCUAUGGGCAUUGAUUUUGGGUGAUUUGGAGUUGAUAUGACUUUAUAAGAGCUUUGCAAAGUCAAGGUUUGUUUUGGAUGAUUUGGAUUUUAUGAAAUAAAAUAGGGUUUAUGUUUUGGAUGAUUUCAAGAGUUUUGUAAGAGAUCUAUGGAUGAAAUUUUGUGGAUUUAUGGUUAUAGUUUGUUUUUAAUAUGUGUCAUGAAUUUGAGCUUGAUCUAACGGUUGAAUUGAGGGAUAUUGAGGUAUAAAAGGAUCAAGGUCUUAGAAAGUAGAAUUUUAGGUCUUGUGGGGAUUUUUGAGAUUUUGUGCAAUCUAUUGAUUGGAUUGGAGUGAAACUUGUAUGAAAGAAUAUUAGACUUGUUUUUCUAUCUAUAUGAGAAUUUUGAGAUCAAUCGAACGGUGUAAAGGAGAGAUAUUGGCUUUGAAAGAUUGGCAUCAAGAUUGGAGAAGGAGGCCAGUCAAUACCCAAGCACAUUUUUGAGGUUAUCGUCAAUUUGGUAAAUCCGAUCCUUUUCAAUCUUUUUAUGCUUAUUUUAAACUUAGUUUUUAAGAAGUAUAAAAAAAUUGAGUUAAGAUCAACGGUUUAUUCAUUAGUUAUUGAGGUUUAAAUCUGUUAUAAGAAUUACUAGGGUUUGGUUUAGGGUUUGAUUAGGAUUUGGUUUAGGAUUUGGUUUAAGGUUUGAUUUAGGGUUUAGGGUUUGGAUUAGGGUUUGAUUUAGGAUUUAAGAUUUGUUUAGGAUUUGUAUCAAGGUUUGGUUAGGGUUUAGUUAGGGUUUGAUUUAGGAUUUGGUUGGGGUUUGGUUUAAGGUUUGUUUAGGAUUUGAUUUAGGGUUUGGUUUAGGGUUUGGUUAAGGUUUAGGGUUUAGGGUUUGGAUUAGGGUUUGGUUUAGGUUUAAG